rnacentral:rRNA from 1 species
GAUGAACGCUGGCGGCGUGCCUAAUACAUGCAAGUCGAGCGAACAGACGAGGAGCUUGCUCCUCUGACGUUAGCGGCGGACGGGUGAGUAACACGUGGAUAACCUACCUAUAAGACUGGGAUAACUUCGGGAAACCGGAGCUAAUACCGGAUAAUAUAUUGAACCGCAUGGUUCAAUAGUGAAAGACGGUUUUGCUGUCACUUAUAGAUGGAUCCGCGCCGCAUUAGCUAGUUGGUAAGGUAACGGCUUACCAAGGCAACGAUGCGUAGCCGGCCUGAGAGGGUGAUCGGCCACACGGGAACUGAGACACGGUCCAGACUCCUAAGGGAGGCAGCAGUAGGGAAUCUUCCGCAAUGGGCGAAAACUUGACGGAGCAACGCCGCGUGAGGGAUGAAGGUCUUCUGAUCGUAAAACUCUGUUAUUAGGGAAGAACAAAUGUGUAAGUAACUAUGCACGUCUUGACGGUACCUAAUCAGAAAGCCACGGCUAACUACGUG